rnacentral:rRNA from 1 species
UACAGAGGGGGCAAGCGUUGUUCGGAAUUACUGGGCGUAAAGGGCGCGUAGGCGGCCUAUUAAGUCGAACGUGAAAUCCCCGGGCUCAACCCGGGAACUGCGUCCGAUACUGGGAGGCUUGAAUCCGGGAGAGGGAUGUGGAAUUCCAGGUGUAGCGGUGAAAUGCGUAGAUAUCUGGAGGAACACCGGUGGCGAAGGCGGCAUCCUGGACCGGUAUUGACGCUGAGGCGCGAAAGCCAGGGGAGCAAACGGG